rnacentral:lncRNA from 1 species
CACCCAGGCGCCCUCACUGUCUGGGAUUCUCAGCAGCAAAGUCCCCAGGAGGGCGGGGCAGGGUCGUGUCGUGGCCCUCGCAGCACAAGCAUCUGGGAACUCAGCCCCCGCGCACGUCCCUGGGUGGGGCCCAGCGGUCGUGCAUGAGUGCUCACCGUUUACCUCUGCGGCUUCCAGAGACACACUGCGCUCUCUAAACACGCGAGGGUGGAAUCCAACACCAGUGGCCCGGCCUUCCAGGCUUUCCUCCCCCACUGGCCAGACUUUCUGUGUCCAUACCGUUCCGGUAGGGUCUUCCAGCAGCCACACCAGCAGCAGGGGCAGGCCGCUGGCUGACCAGCCAAGGCAGAGCCCUUCCCCACGGUGACAUCGAGGUCGAUGCAAAAGGAUUCUUCUGUACAGACUGUAGGCACCCAAGACGACCCUGGACAGACCAGCCGAGCGGGAUGUGCCGUCUGCACAGGCUCGCAAGGCCCUGCAACACCGCUGCGUUGACCGCACGUCCACCUCAGUCGUGGCACCAAGGUCACGCCCCACAAAUCCCGUAAUAGACUGGAGCCCAGCCCAAAGGGUGACGGAGGGAAGCACUCUACAGCCAGUCUUUCCCCCCAGAUUCCAACUCGGGCGGCCCGCUGCCCCAGCCCUACCUCGGCCGCCGGGCUGGCCCCUUCCUCUGCCAGAACCCAGUGUGUCACUGCAGCGCACCCCAUGGUGCCAGAAUCUCAGGCUGCUGGCUAUAGGACUGGGCGCAGGAGUGCUUGGCCUGGGCCUCAUUCCCGGCCGGGAAGAGCAGGGUCCGUGGCAGGGGGCGCAUGAGCCCACGGGAGGACCGGCCCCUCGUGCUGUGGGAAGGACAACGACCCGCUCUGCCCCCACUGAGGCCUGUGGGCUGACCACCCUGGCAGCACAGAGCUGAAUGAGGCCUCUGCCCAGACAGUGUGGACGGCCGGCCAGGAGUGAAGGGGGUGUGUGAAGCGCCAGGUUUUCCUUCUGCUUGUCAGGGUUCCCCCGACAAUCUACCGAACGCCUGGGUCAAGCCCACUUCUCCAGCCCUCGGCUGUGUCCUGGGGACCCUGGGAUGUCGCUCAACAAGUUAGCAGUUUUCACGAGUCACAGAGCGUUUCCAGUAGGAUGUUGAUCACAGCACAGAAUUCAGAGGUGAGGACACCUCCUCCCAGGAGACCCAAAGGCCCGGGAGAGAAGGGGGUGGCCCUCAGCCCCCGGAGGAAAAGGCUGCCCACUUCAGGGCCCUGCAGACCCCUGGUCCAGGCUGGUGAGUCCAAGAGCUGAUGGAUGCCCUCUGAGGAGAGGCCUUGCAUGAUGGACUAGUGGACACCUUGUUUUCCAAGCUGCCAGUCCAGCCUCUCCUUGCUGAGC